GCACAUCUCAAGGACUUGGCGGGGGGAGGGGGGGAGCAAUGGUUUGUCCCAGGAGCCUGCUCUUUGAUGGUAGUGCUUUAAUUAGCACCCAGCAUGGGGCCUGUGAGUGAUGAAGGACUCAGUGUAGUCACCAUCUGGUACAGGCCACAAACUGGUUUCCCAGCGUUUGUUUUGUGGCUGACUGCCCGCAGACUUCCAAAGCAUUCUUCUCCAGACGCCUGCUGUAGCGGAAAGUGGUGUUCUGACCUUUGUUCCUCCUUCCGUUUUUCCUAAGGUUGAGAAGUGCUUGAUGAAAUUUUUAUGUGGCUUAAAAAGCUUAGCUUAUUAAAGUUUAAUAAGAAGGUGGCAGCAACUCAACUGGUUGAAACCUUUGACUGUUUUAAAAGAAAAGCCAGAAAGAACUAUUAGCGAAGAAAAAAAAAGUGAGUUCAAGGAGAGACUCAUUUCUUCCCAUCGUGAAGCAGUUCUUUCUAGAGAUUAUGCUACCAAAGAGAGCCAUAUGUUGUAAAUAACUUUCUAAGCACAGAGUAACGUACACAAUUGACACCAUUUUACACAUGAUAUAUGAAGCUAGUGCUUUGGCUUUUUAGUUUACUGCCAGGUAUCUGUGGUUGCUCUUCCUGAAAACCUCUUAGAAUGCAUCUAAAUACGGUAUUUAGGUAGAGAUAGCUCAGAUGAUGGCUGAUGGUAAACUUAAAUGUCACCUUCUAAAAGGACUGAUAGUUAUUUCACACAAGAAAAUAGAUGUUUGUGUUUUAUUGAAAGAUUACCUAAGGUUUUCCUGAGAAAUGUAAACUUUUUCACAAUUAUAUAGUUAAUAUUACACCCUUAAUUGCAGAGUGGUCAAGUUUGAUUCCCAAACUAGAACAAUAAAAUUUUAAUUUUUCUGUUGAGGAAUAAGGCACAUAUUUAAAAUUUAUAACCUAGGACUACUAGGUGUAGAAGGUCUUCUUAUUAAAAUUCCCUGUGAAAAUGCCUAUGGUUUCUAAGGACUUUAAAACUCAUUUAAAACUUCUUGCUAAAAUGUGUAUAUAGUAUUCUUAGACUUUAUAAAUAUGUCCAGGUUACUGAAACAAAAUAAGCUUUUGUUGCCAAUUUUUAUCUUGUAAGGUAAUUGGAGGUUGCACUUGCAUAUGAGAGUAUGGAAGAAUGCUGAAAGUUCUUCAGAUGAAGGCUAAUACUUUGCAUGUAUAAUCUUUGAAAGAUGGUGAAUUCAAAAGUCUUUUCGUUCCAGAUUGCAGGGGGAUAAGUUGUUGUGCAUACUGUCAAGUUUCUUUCCCCUAGGAGAAGAUUAUAUAGUCAAAGGAGACAGAUUUCCUCAUAGUUGGAUGGUAGAUUGAAUUUUAUUAAUUAUGUUUAUUAGGGAUUAAUAAUUCCAGAAGAACUGGAAAAGGAAAAUAGAUCUUCGCACUAAGACAGUAUUAUUUUACCACUUUUUAAAUGUAUUGCAAAACCUACAUCUUUUUCAUGUCCUGCUUUUAUGAUCAGUUUACAUAAACAAAUACCACUUUCUGUAUACAGAGUCUGUAUGCCUUCUACACCUUAUAACAAAGCUUAAGAUUUUGUUUUUCUGCUCUUGAGAUAAGAGUGUUUCUAUGACAUUACAUUCUACAUCCUUGGGGUUUAGCAUAGGGCCUGGCAUGUCACAAUGACUCAGUAAAUGUUUAAAUGAAUUAAAGAAUGAGCUUACAUUCUGUGGGAAGGCAGACAGGUGUAAUUAAAAUACUGUGUGGUAUAAGAGUUAUCCUUUUUAUACAGCAUGGUAUUACUAGUGUGGUCUCACAGAGGAGGUAGUGACAUUUGAGCUGAAUUUUAAAGGAUGUAUAAGACUUUCUCAGACAGAGGCUGGGAGGAAAGUCACACAAAGGGAUCAUUUUCCACAGAGCUGUGAGGAGAUAAAAGGAAAGACAGAAGAGUUGAAUGACAUCAGAAAUAGUAGGGAGGCGACCUAAGACUGAACUGAUACUGGAUGAGCAUAAUGACACUAGAAGAUGAAGGGCUUGACUCUCCUGUUGAAAAUUUAGACUUUACUUUCUAAGCAAUAAGGAGACAUUAAAGGUUUUUCAGUGGAGUGAAAAACAUUUUUCUAUUAGGAGGGUCUUGGGGAAGGGAGUUCUUAAAGAAGAAAAUACUGAAGAGCAAAAUAAAUUAUAUUAACAAAGCAAGGAGUUCCCGUCAUGACUCAGCAGAAACGAACCUGACUAGUAACCAUGAGGUUGCAGGUUCUAUCCCUGCCCUUGCUCAGUGAGUUAAGGAUCCAGCAUUGCUGUGAGCUGUGGUGUAGGUCACAGAUGCAGCUUGGAUCCUGCAUUGCUGUGGCUGUGGCUGUGGCCGGCAGCUGCAGCUCCAAUUCAACCCCUAACCUAGGAACCUCCAUGUGCCACAGGUGUGGCCCUAAAAAGCAAAAAAAAAAAAAA
ensembl:lncRNA